GCCCCUCGCCGGAGUGCCGGGUGCAUCAUACAUUGGUGUUCCGUUGCUAGUGCUCGGCUGAGCAGAUAUUUUGUAAUAUUUUAUCAUCGAAAACCCUCACCGCUCAUUUCUUUCCUUUUUAUGCAUUUUAUAUUUUUCAUCAGUAGGAGUAUCUCGUUUAAUUUAUUUAUUUAUUUAUUUAUUUAUUUAUUUUAUUAUUUAUUUAUUUUUUUAGAAAUUGAAGUACAUAAAUCGGUCUAUCCGUUUAUAUCGGUUUCAUAAGCCUCUUCAAUCGUUCAAUGGUCAAUCAAUCAUGGUCAACACUCUUACACUUCUGACGAACGAAUGCCUGGUCGCUAGCUGCAGCUUCCCAUCGAUGUAGGCACUCGAUCUUCGAGGUUUUACUUCACCUGAUCUAGCCAUCGAACUCGCUGUGCUUCCUUGCUUCUAGUACCGAACUGAGUGCCGCUUUCGAACACCUUGCUGUUGGGGCACGAAUCUGGCAUCUUUACAACAUGUCCCAGCCAGCGCAAACAGCCAUGUCCGACGCGCCAUACGGCUUCAGUAAGCUCGUGGUUGAUCAUUCGCAUCCACACCCCAUGCUCGAAUGCACCGCUUAAGAUGAUCCGGAGGAUGCGUCGGCCGUCGUGUUUCGCCGCUGUCCUUUGCAUGCUAUAAAGUAACACACCUAUUCAUCGCAGCACGAGCGCAACGUGAUACAUCGUGACAUCAUCCGGAAAACUUGCAGCUGGCGCACGGUGGUGAUCUGAAGAUUGCCGAUUUCGGUUGGUCCGUGUACGAGCCGACCUUGUUCCGGUACGAAGCUGUGCGUUUCGCUCGACUAUUUAUCGCCCGAGAUGGUGCAUGGUCAGCCGCACAUAAAAACUUUCGAUCUAUCGAAUUUGGGCGUGCUGGCGUACAAGCUGCUGUGCGGUAAGGUCCCGGUUUUGGCGACCACGUAUGAUGAAGCUGCAGUUUAAGAUGCCGCCAGAUAUGACGAAGCCGGCGGCCCAUCUGAUCUCGCGACUGUUCGUUAAGGAUCUGGCCAGCCGUAUGCCGCUGAAACAUGUUGCGUUCAUCCCUGGAUUCUGCUGCACGUGCACAAAAAGUAAAUAGGAAUUGCUGCUACCAUGUACCAUAUAUUGUUAUGUUCUCACAAAGUAUGUUUAUAAGAUACCUGUACCUUUUAGUUUUUUAAACCCUAUCUCUUAUAAGAAGUAGUGGUAUUUGAAUUUAAUAUGAACAAGGCAAGUGUAAUGAUAAGUAAUGAUAAUUGUUAUUUGUGUGUUCACUCAAUUGUUAUUAUACUUUCUUCAUGUUCAGCAUAUGUUAUUAUUUCAAUUAUUAACAAUAAAAUAUGGCAAAAUAUUUUUUAAGCUA